GUGGGCGUAGCUCAGUUGGUAGAGCACAGGAUUGUGGCUCCUGGUGUCGUGGGUUCGAAACCCAUCGUCCACCCCA
rnacentral:tRNA from 2 species